rnacentral:rRNA from 1 species
UACGUAGGGGGCUAGCGUUGUCCGGAUUUAUUGGGCGUAAAGAGCGUGUAGGCGGCCAGGUAGGUCUGCUGUGAAAACUCGAGGCUUAACCUCGAGAUGUCGGCGGAAACCAUCUGGCUAGAGUCCGGAAGAGGAGAGUGGAAUUCCUGGUGUAGCGGUGAAAUGCGCAGAUAUCAGGAAGAACACCCGUGGCGAAGGCGGCUCUCUGGGACGGUACUGACGCUGAGGAGCGAAAGCCAGGGGAGCAAACGGG